rnacentral:rRNA from 1 species
UACGGAGGAUGCGAGCGUUAUCCGGAUUUAUUGGGUUUAAAGGGUGCGUAGGCGGGAAAGCAAGUCAGAUGUGAAAACCAUGGGCUCAACCUGUGGCCUGCAUUUGAAACUGUUUUUCUUGAGUACUGGAGAGGCAGACGGAAUUCCUAGUGUAGCGGUGAAAUGCGUAGAUAUUAGGAGGAACACCAGUGGCGAAGGCGGUCUGCUGGACAGCAACUGACGCUGAGGCACGAAAGCGUGGGUAUCGAACAGG